CGACCUCAGAGUAGGCGAGAUUACCCGCUGAAUUUAAGCAUAUUACUAAGCGGAGGAAAAGAAACUAACAAGGAUUUCCUUAGUAGCGGCGAGCGAACAGGAUUGAGCCCAGCAAUGUAGUGUUUAGGAGGGUCAAUUUAUCCCGAGAUGUCGAACUGCGUCCAAGUCCAUCUUGAAUGGGGCCAUUUACCCGUGGAGGGUGUCAGGCCCGUCGCGACAGGUACGCAUUUCGGGAGGACUUCUCUUUAGAGUCGCGUUACUUGGGAGUGCAUCCCUAAGUGGGUGGUAAACUCCAUCUAAGGCUCUAAAUAUAACCACGAGACCGAUAGCGAACAAGUACCGUGAGGGAAUGUGGAAAAGAACUUUGAAGAGAGAGUUCAAGAGUACGUGAAACCGUUCAGGGGUAAACCUGAGAAACCCAAAAGUUUGAAUGGGGAGAUUCAUCGGCAGCGAAGCUGGCUCCCGUUGGUGCGUUGAUACCCUGACUUUGGGGCCUUCGUGGUUUCAAUGCGAGGGCACACCAUCUUCGGUGAACGUUCCGGCUAUAUGUAGUCGUGCACUUCUCCCUUAGUAGAACGUCGCGACCCGUUGCGUGUCGGUCUACGGCCCAAGUUGUUUGCCUGGCACGUCGCCUAGUGCGCACACGUCAGACGCUCGAUCGCCCGGUCGGCUGCGUGACGGUACUCUGACGGUAUCGGGCAGCAACCAAUCCAUUUUCGAAUAUACGUGCGUCAGGCCCGCCGCAAGCUCGGUCAGUUUACCCGGAGGUGUACGGACCUGGUGCCGUCCCCGGGCCUGGCCAGCUGUUUGCAGGCGGUGUUCUUGAACUGGCCAAGCUUCGAAUUACCGGUCGGCGACGCUACUGCUUUGGGUACUCACAGGACCUGUCUUGAAACACGGACCAAGGA
rnacentral:ncRNA from 1 species